ACGAGAAGCGAACCUGCGAAGGCAAGCGGAUCUCUUAAAGCCGUUCUCAGUUCGGACUGUAGGCUGCAACUCGCCUACACGAAGCUGGAAUCGCUAGUAAUCGCGGAUCAGCAUGCCGCGGUGAAUACGUUCCCGGGCCUUGUACACACCGCCCGUCACACCAUGGGAGUUGGGAGCACCCGAAGCCGGUGACCCAACCUUAGGGAGGGAGCUGUCGAAGGUGGAGCCGGUAACUGGGGUGAAGUCGUAACAAGGUAGC
rnacentral:rRNA from 1 species